rnacentral:tRNA from 1 species
GCGUUCAUGGCCAAACGGGAUCAAGGCCCUCCGCUACGAACGGAGAGAUUCCAGGUUCGAAUCCUGGUGAGCGCACCA